AGUUUGUGAAGUAUGUUUCUUAAGAAAAAUCUCUGAACAUAUGAACUCCAUAGUGAUUUCAGUGCAUUACUGAGGGAAGCU